rnacentral:misc_RNA from 1 species
GAUGAAGAACGUAGCGAAAUGCGAUACUUGGUGUGAAUUGCAGAAUCCCGUGAACCAUCGAGUCUUUGAACGCAAGUUGCGCCCGAAGCCAUCAGGUUGAGGGCACGUCUGCCUGGGCGUCACAUAUCGUUGCCCAAUGCCUAUUGCAGUGCAAUAGGAAUUUCUAGGGCGAAUGAUGGCUUCCCGUGAGCGUUGUUGCCUCGCGGUUGGUUGAAAAUCGAGUCCUUGGUAGGGUGUGCCAUGGUAGAUGGUGGUCGAGUUAGAACGAUACCGAUCAUGUGCAUGCUCCCCAAAAUAUGGCCUCUAUGACCCACACGCGUCUUUUGACGCUCAUGACGAGACCUCAGGUCAGGCGGGGCUACCCCUGAAUUUAAGCAUAUCAAUAAGCGGAGGA